rnacentral:rRNA from 1 species
AACGAACGCUGGCGGCAUGCCUAACACAUGCAAGUCGAACGAGACCUUCGGGUCUAGUGGCGCACGGGUGCGUAACGCGUGGGAACCUGCCCUUAGGUUCGGAAUAACUCCCCGAAAGGGGUGCUAAUACCGGAUAAUGUCUUCGGCCCAAAGAUUUAUCGCCUUUGGAUGGGCCCGCGUUGGAUUAGCUGGUUGGUAGGGUAAAAGCCUCCCACGGCGACGAUCCAUAGCUGGUCUGAGAGGAUGAUCAGCCACACUGGGACUGAGACACGGCCCAGACUCCUACGGGAGGCAGCAGUGGGGAAUAUUGGACAAUGGGCGGAAGCCUGAUCCAGCAAUGCCGCGUGAGUGAUGAAGGCCUUAGGGUUGUAAAGCUCUUUUACCCGGGAUGAUAAUGACAGUACCGGGAGAAUAAGCUCCGGCUAACUCCGUG